rnacentral:miRNA from 1 species
UAGAGCAUGCUUGUACAAAGAAA